GUGGGGAAUCUUGCGCAAUGGGCGAAAGCCUGACGCAGCCAUGCCGCGUGGAUGAUGAAGGUCUUAGGAUUGUAAAAUCCUUUCACCGGUGAAGAUAAUGACUGUAGCCGGAGAAGAAGCCCCGGCUAACUUCGUGCCAGCAGCCGCGGUAAUACGAAGGGGGCUAGCGUUGCUCGGAUUUACUGGGCGUAAAGGGCGCGUAGGCGGACAUUUAAGUCAGGGGUGAAAUCCCGGGGCUCAACCUCGGAACUGCAUUUGAUACUGGGUGUCUUGAGUAUGAGAGAGGUGUGUGGAACUCCGAGUGUAGAGGUGAAAUUCGUAGAUAUUCGGAAGAACACCAGUGGCGAAGGCGACACACUGGCUCAUUACUGACGCUGAGGCGCGAAAGCGUGGGGAGCAAACAGGAUUAGAUACCCUUGUAGUCC
rnacentral:rRNA from 1 species